UACAGAGGGUGCGAGCGUUAAUCGGAAUUACUGGGCGUAAAGCGCACGUAGGCGGCUUGGUAAGUCGGGUGUGAAACCCUCAGGCUCAACCUGGGGACGCCACUCGAUACUGCUGUGGCUAGAGUCCAGUAGAGGAGUGUGGAAUUCCCGGUGUAGCGGUGAAAUGCGCAGAUAUCGGGAGGAACACCAACGGCGAAGGCAGCACUCUGGGCUGGAACUGACGCUGAGGAGCGAAAGCGUGGGUAGCAAACAGG
rnacentral:rRNA from 1 species